AGGGUUCAGGUGAGGGAGGUUUGUGGGCAGUGGCGGAGCCAGGAUUUGUAAUCCGGGGGGACAAUUUUUAGAUGUUUAAUAAUCGACAAUAAUUAUAAGAAAAAAGAAAUUGAUCACAUAAAUUGUUUAAUAUAUAUUUGAAAUCGCUUAUGAGAUAUGACAAUUAUUCUUAUAUGGUGAAAGAGGAGUUGUUAAAAAAUUAAUUGCAUAUUAAGAAAUUUAUUAACCAAAUUUUUUUUUUAUGCUGGUAAACCCCAAUUUUAAGGUAUGUAAUCCUUAAUAAUCGAUAAAUAUGAUUUAUCAAAUGAUAAGCAUUUACACAAAUUGAUAGUAGAUGUAAAGGGAUUUGGGUUACAUUUUAAAAAAAAAAUAAUAAUAAAUAAAUAAACUUUCUUUGACUAAAAAUAAAAUUGGAAACUUAGUUCCAAACAAGCUAUAAAAAAAAUAGAAUUUAGGCACACAUAAUUAGAGAGAUAAAAAAAUACGGAGACAUGUGUUCAUUACAAAUAGUUUAAUAACACAUUAGUAAUCACUAUCAACAAGGCGAUACUUGAUUAAACAGUUAAAUGAGAGUAAUUAGAGGUUUGAAGACUUAUAAUACUUUGUAUAUAUAAAUUACAUACUAUAUAAUGAAAUUUAAAAACCAGUAAAAAAAAAAAUGGCAAAAUCCAAAAACAAGAAAAAGAAGUUAAAUAGGAGCACUUUGUCUAAACUAUAAAAUGAAAUAAAAAUAAAGUCCAAAAAUAGCAAAAAGAAACAAAAAAAAUGAUCGGGUAAAGAAUCGAACCUAGGAUCAAAGAGAAAUACAAGCUUUACUCAAGCCCAUCAACCACCAGACCAAAUGUUGUCUUUGUUAUAUAAGGUAUACAUGUAAGGUAUUUAUUCUUAUUUACAGCAUUUAUUUAAGCUAACAUAAAUUAAAUUUUUUUUUGGAAAAAUGGGGGGACAACCGUCCCCCCUUGUUCCUACAUGGCUCCGCCCCUGUUUGUGGGUAAUGUGGGUUGGGAUUUCGAUUUUCGACGAAAGCUCUAGGUAAGGAAGAAGAUUUUGGCGACGAUGGUGGUGAUGUAGCCGAGGUAGCUAUUGGUGCCGUGAUGUAGGAGUUCGGCGGCGUGGGGUGGUUUUCGGGUUUGGACGUUUGGUCGUAUGAGUUCAGCGGCGUGAGUGGUUUUCGGGGAGAGGGAAGGCGAAAUUCGGCGUUGUGGGGUGGUUUUGGUUGGGGAGAUGGGUGUCGCCGGUUUUGGUUGGGGAGAUAGGUGUCGGCGGCGGCCUGGGUUAUAGUGGUUGCGGCUAAAGCGAGGUGGCGCCGGUGGUGGGGCUAGCCGGGUUAAGGGAUUUUUUUUUCUUUUUAUUAUUUCAUCUUUUUUAAACCUAUAGGUUAUUGACACGUGUCAAUUAUGGGCCCCACUAACGGAUUCCAUCCAAGAAUCCGUUAAGUGGUGGUUAAAUCAAAUUUUGGUGUUUUCUUGUGGUGUUAUAAUCAAAAUUUAUUUUUUUGUGGUGUUAUAAACAAAAUUUGUGUUUUUUUGUGGUGUUAUUUUCUAAAAUUUCCUUUUUUUUUCCAAACAAAAAUUAGUAAAGUAUCAACUCUUUAUGGAACAAAAAUUAAGGGACAGAGGAAAUACAAUAUUACUACCAUAACACUGUAAAGAUAACAUGAUAAAAGAACGGUAAAAAGUAAAAUAUACACUUUGUAAAAGUGUGUUUAUAGAUUGAUUAUUGUGAAAUAAAGUUUUCAAAGGCCGGACUAUUAGUUUGGAUGGAACAGAGGACUUGUCUCUUUGCCAUGAUGAGGUUGCAUUGUAUAGUGCCUUUUGAAAUUAUACAACUUUCAAAAGUUCAAAAGUUGGUGGAUCAUAGCAUUAGCAUUAGCGAGGGUGCGAUUCAUUUGCGUAAUCAUAUCGAUUUCAAUAUAUUGUCCAGACGUGAAUCCUCCCGAGCUUGGAUUUGUUAAACUGCUUGUUUCAUACGGAUGGUUGCGAUGGCCCAAGGAUGCUUGUUGAGCCCGGGAACAACCUAGAUUUUACAGGAAUGAUGAGUCAAUCCCGGAAAUACAACCACUUGAAGACAAAUAAAAUCCACAACAUACAAAAUGGAGGAGACUAAAUAUGAAGACAUGACGGGAAAAUGUGGAUGCUACAAUAUGAAGAAUGCUAUCUCAUUCGGCCAUUCCCCAACUAUCUUAUGUAAACAUAGUUACUUAAACAUAUAUUCAAUAAUAUUUUGCUAAUCUAACUUCCUAAUUAUUGAUUGCUUACCAAUCCAUUGAAUGCCAAAUUCAACAUAUUAUAAUGCAAAACAACAACAACAAUAACAACAAAAAAAAAAAAAAAAA